UACGGAGGAUGCAAGCGUUAUCCGGAAUUAUUGGGCGUAAAGCGUCCGCAGGUGGCACUUCAAGUCUGUCGUCAAAGACCGGGGCUUAACCCUGGAAAGGCGAUGGAAACUGAAAGGCUAGAGAGAGGUAGGGGUAGAGGGAAUUCCCAGUGUAGCGGUGAAAUGCGUAGAGAUUGGGAAGAACAUCGGUGGCGAAAGCGCUCUACUAGGCCGUAACUGACACUGAGGGACGAAAGCUAGGGGAGCGAAUGGG
rnacentral:rRNA from 1 species